UCCACAUCAUUUCCAGAUUUUUCCUCAGGAGUCGAGCCGCCAUUUUUUCGAGUGAAGGUGACUUGGAUAAAAGAUUUUUUUCCAUGACUGGUGGGUGACUUCAGACUUGAACACUAUCUAAGGACUCUGGCGCCAAUGAUGCUCAGAGGGACCUGGAGCAGCUCACUUUGGCUGUGUUUGUCAUUCGGAAGGAGGGGGAAGGACUGCAGGAGCUACCUGAAGACAUUGGCAUUGUCAUUGAGGGCGUGCAGGUG